GCCCUGGUGGAUUAGUGGUGAAAUCAUCUCGUUCUGGUGGCUCCUUUCUAUACUUAAUUCAACCGAGAAGGAGGGCUCGACUCCCUUCCGGGACA